AGUGAACGCUGGCGGUAUGCCUAACACAUGCAAGUCGAACGGCAGCACAGUAAGAGCUUGCUCUUACGGGUGGCGAGUGGCGGACGGGUGAGGAGUACAUCGGAAUCUACUUUUUCUUGGGUGACAACGUAGGGAAACUUACGCUAAUACCGCAUACGACCAACGGGUGAAAGCAGUGGAGCUUCGGACCUUGCCCGACUGAAUGAGCCGGUGUCGGAUUAGCUAGUUGGCGAGGUAAGGGCCCACCAAGGCGACGAUCCGUAGCUGGUCUGAGAGGAUGAUCAGCCACACUGGAACUGAGACACGGUCCAGACUCCUACGGGAGGCAGCAGUGGGGAAUAUUGGACAAUGGGCGCAAGCCUGAUCCAGCCAUACCGCGUGGGUGAAGAAGGCCUUCGGGUUGUAAAGCCCUUUUGUUGGGAAAGAAAAGCAGCAGGUUAAUACCCCGCUGUUCUGACGGUACCCAAUGAAUAAGCACCGGCUAACUUCGCG
rnacentral:rRNA from 1 species